GUAGGCCUAACACAUGCAAGUCGAACGGCAGCACAGUAAGAGCUUGCUCUUAUGGGUGGCGAGUGGCGGACGGGUGAGGAAUACAUCGGAAUCUACCUUUUCGUGGGGGAUAACGUAGGGAAACUUACGCUAAUACCGCAUACGACCUUCGGGUGAAAGCAGGGGACCUUCGGGCCUUGCGCGGAUAGAUGAGCCGAUGUCGGAUUAGCUAGUUGGCGGGGUAAAGGCCCACCAAGGCGACGAUCCGUAGCUGGUCUGAGAGGAUGAUCAGCCACACUGGAACUGAGACACGGUCCAGACUCCUACGGGAGGCAGCAGUGGGGAAUAUUGGACAAUGGGCGCAAGCCUGAUCCAGCCAUACCGCGUGGGUGAAGAAGGCCUUCGGGUUGUAAAGCCCUUUUGUUGGGAAAGAAAAGCAGUCGGCUAAUACCCGGUUGUUCUGACGGUACCCAAAGAAUAAGCACCGGCUAACUUCGUGCCAGCAGCCGCGGUAAUACGAAGGGUGCAAGCGUUACUCGGAAUUACUGGGCGUAAAGCGUGCGUAGGUGGUUGUUUAAGUCUGUUGUGAAAGCCCUGGGCUCAACCUGGGAAUUGCAGUGGAUACUGGGCGACUAGAGUGUGGUAGAGGGUAGUGGAAUUCCCGGUGUAGCAGUGAAAUGCGUAGAGAUCGGGAGGAACAUCCAUGGCGAAGGCAGCUACCUGGACCAACACUGACACUGAGGCAC
rnacentral:rRNA from 1 species